CGGAGGAUCCAAGCGUUAUCCGGAAUCAUUGGGUUUAAAGGGUCCGUAGGCGGGUUUAUAAGUCAGUGGUGAAAGCCCAUCGCUCAACGAUGGAACGGCCAUUGAUACUGUAGAUCUUGAAUUAUUAGGAAGUAACUAGAAUAUGUAGUGUAGCGGUGAAAUGCUUAGAGAUUACAUGGAAUACCAAUUGCGAAGGCAGGUUACUACUAAUGGAUUGACGCUGAUGGACGAAAGCGUGGGUAGCGAACAGGAUUAGAUACCCUGGUAGUCCACGACCGUAAACGAUGGAUACUAGCUGUUCGGAGCAAUCUGAGUGGCUAAGCGUAAAGUGAUAAGUACUCCCAACCGUGGGGAGUACGUUCGACAAGAAUG
rnacentral:rRNA from 1 species